UCGUAACAAGGUCUCCGUUGGUGAACCAGCGGAGGGAUCAUUAACGAGUUCCAUUCUCCUUAAUACACCCGUGAACGUUUCUUCAACUGUUCGUUGCUUCGGCGGGCGGCCCCGGGGAGGGGCCGCAGCCCGCAAGGGCGCCCGCCGGCGGCAGCGCAGCACAACUCUUGCGAUUUAGGCCCCUCUGAGAAGACACUAAAUGAGUCAAAACUUUCAACAACGGAUCUCUUGGUUCUGGCAUCGAUGAAGAACGCAGCGAAAUGCGAUAAGUAAUGUGAAUUGCAGAACUCAGCGAAUCAUCGAAUCUUUGAACGCACAUUGCGCCCGCCGGCAUUCCGGCGGGCAUGCCUGUUCGAGCGUCAUUUCAACCCUCGAGCCCUGCUCGGUGUUGGGGCCCCGCGGCCGCCGCGGGCCCUGAAAAGAAGUGGCGGGCGCGCCUGGACCCGUAGCGCAGUAAUACACCUCGCUCGCGGCGUCCCGGCGCGUGCCGGCCGUAAAACCCCUUUAUCUCAAGGUUGACCUCGGAUCAGGUAGGAAUACCCGCUGAACUUAAGCAUAUCAAUA
rnacentral:rRNA from 1 species